GUAGCGCUAAGAUAAGGAUGUUAGUAGUACAGUUUACAGUUCCUUGAGAAAGUAUUCACACCCCUCAAAGACAACUCCAUCAAAUUUAGUAACUAUGGAGAACAGCAGCACUGGCCGGACGACCACCCAGAUCUCCUCGGUCUCUUCCUCAGUGCUUGUGUCGUCCCUGUCAACGCUCAGCUCUGUGAGUGCCUGGAACCUGGGCCAGGCCAGUGCAGUCAUCACUACCGGAGGCUUCCAGAUAAAACACUGCCUCCUCCCUGAUCUCACUGGGCACUGUCCUUGGGGGCAUUUUGUCAGCGAUGAUAAUGAACAUCUCAGCCACUGAGCUGUUGACAGCAUCCCAGAGCUCUGUUUGUCACCAACAUGCUGGCUGCCCAACAGAUUGUUCAGGAAGCCUACAUCAGCAAGGUACCAGGUGGAUCUGAGGAUGUUGUAUUGGCUACAGUAACAGUUUUGUGGGUCACACUGAUAUAAGAUACUGUAUUUGCACCUAAAUUCCUCAACAUGACGAAGGGGACACAUUCUUUGUUAUAACAAAAUAGUUGUCUUUCCACUGUCAUUCCCUAUUAGAUAAUCAUCAUCAAUGAAAACCCCAACGCGUUGGUUGUAAACAUACCUGAUGCCGUGGCCAUACUGAUCCCCAGAGCUCUCCUGACCUUUUCUCAGGAGACUGUUAUGGUCUCGACAUCACUUAUGAACAUCACUUAGCUAAUACAUCUUGGACAUGAUUGACUCAUUUCUCCACAGUUGACCUGCAUGUACAAUUUACUGAAAGACAACCUCUACCUGAACUUUGCAGAUUAUCUCUUAAACAUGCUACUCUAUUACAAGUAAAUAUCAGCCUGUUUGUCAUCUCUUCCUGUUUGUCAUCUCUUCCUGUUUGUCAUCUCUUCCUGUUUGUCAUCUCUUCCUGUUUGUCAUCUCUUCCUGUUUGUCAUCUCUUCCUGUUUGUCAUCUCUUCCUGUUUGUCAUCUCUUCCUGUUUGUCAUCUCUUCCUGUUUGUCAUCUCUUCCUGUUUGUCAUCUCUUCCUGUUUGUCAUCUCAUUGUCAUCUCCUCUUGUUCGUCAUCUCUUCCUGUUUGUCAUCUCCUCUUGUUCGUCAUCUCUUCCUGUUCG